GGAGGAGUGGCAGAGUGGUUGAAUGCACCGGUCUUGAAAACCGACGUAGGUGAAAGUCUACCGUGGGUUGAAUCCCACCUCCUCCGCCA
rnacentral:tRNA from 1 species